CCGGCGCACGGGUGAGUAACGCGUAUGCAACUUACCUAUCAGGAGGGGAUACCGCAAAGUCGGACUAAUACCGCAUGAAGCAGGGAUCCCGCAUGGGAAUAUUUGCUAAAGAUUCAUCGCUGAUAGAUAGGCAUGCGUUCCAUUAGGCAGUUGGCGGGUAACGCCCACCAAACCGACGAUGGAUAGGGUUCUGAGAGGAAGGUCCCCCACAUUGGUACUGAGACACGGACCAA
rnacentral:rRNA from 1 species